AUUGCCCCAGUAACGGCGAGUGAAGCGGCAACAGCUCAAAUUUGAAAUCUGGCUCUCGGGCCCGAGUUGUAAUUUGUAGAGGAUGCUUUUGGUGAGGUGCCUUCCGAGUUCCCUGGAACGGGACGCCAUAGAGGGUGAGAGCCCCGUCUGGUUGGACGCCGAACCUCUGUAAAGCUCCUUCGACGAGUCGAGUAGUUUGGGAAUGCUGCUCUAAAUGGGAGGUAUAUGUCUUCUAAAGCUAAAUACCGGCCAGAGACCGAUAGCGCACAAGUAGAGUGAUCGAAAGAUGAAAAGAACUUUGAAAAGAGAGUUAAACAGUACGUGAAAUUGUUGAAAGGGAAGCGCUUGUGACCAGACUUGGGCUUGGUUGAUCAUCCGGGGUUCUCCCCGGUGCACUCUUCCGGCUCAGGCCAGCAUCAGUUCGCCCUGGGGGAUAAAGGCAUCGGGAACGUGGCUCUCUCCGGGGAGUGUUAUAGCCCGUUGCGUAAUACCCUGUGGCGGACUGAGGUUCGCGCAUUCGCAAGGAUGCUGGCGUAAUGGUCAUCAGUGACCCGUCUUGAAACACGGACCAAGGAGUCGUCUUCGUAUGCGAGUGUUCGGGUGUCAAACCCCUACGCGAAAUGAAAGUGAACGCAGGUGAGAGCUUCGGCGCAUCAUCGACCGAUCCUGAUGUUAUCGGAUGGAUUUGAGUAAGAGCAUACGGGGCCGGACCCGAAAGAAGGUGAACUAUGCCUGUGUAGGGUGAAGCCAGAGGAAACUCUGGUGGAGGCUCGCAGCGGUUCUGACGUGCAAAUCGAUCGUCAAACAUGGGCAUGGGGGCGAAAGACUAAUCGAACCUUCUAGUAGCUGGUUUCCGCCGAAGU
rnacentral:rRNA from 1 species